rnacentral:tRNA from 1 species
UAGCAGCGAGUGGUUUCGAUCCAACGACCUCUGGAUUGUUUGCCGAGCACGCUAACACUGCGCCACGCUGCU